AAUAAAAAAAAAAGAAGAAAAAGAAUGAGAGAAGUACAGAAUGGAGACAGUACUAAAUGUCAUUUUUUUUUCUUGCUGAUAAACUUGAGUGGAACAAUCUGGAGGUAUUGAGUGAAACUGAAAAUAAAAAAAAUUAAUGUAUUUUUUUAUGGAUGUAGACCUGUUUUUCUGAUGAUGGACUAGUAUUUUGUCAUGCUCUUCUUCCAUUAUAGAAGAACCUGAUAUGAGAUACAAGUUUU
rnacentral:misc_RNA from 1 species